AAAAUUUUAGUUUAAUUAAAAAUAUUUCAUUUACAUUGAAAUGAUUUGAUGAGUUUAAAAAUUUUA
rnacentral:tRNA from 1 species